CUGGCUGUGAUGAGACGCGCAGGGGUACGGACCUCAGCUGAUCAUGGGAGCUGAGUGUUGGUGCUGGUUACCCGCUCAGUGGGCGUGUGGUCUACUGCCCGGGAGCUGCCAACAUGAUACAGACGCACUGCUGAGCCAC
ensembl:snoRNA SNORD94 small nucleolar RNA SNORD94